rnacentral:rRNA from 1 species
GACGAACGCUGGCGGCGUGCUUAACACAUGCAAGUCGAACGGAAAGGCCCUGCUUUUGUGGGGUGCUCGAGUGGCGAACGGGUGAGUAACACGUGAGUAACCUGCCCUUGACUUUGGGAUAACUUCAGGAAACUGGGGCUAAUACCGGAUAGGAGCUCCUGCUGCAUGGUGGGGGUUGGAAAGUUUCGGCGGUUGGGGAUGGACUCGCGGCUUAUUAGCUUGUUGGUUGGGUAGUGGCUUACCAAGGCUUUGACGGGUAGCCGGCGUGAGAGGGUGACCGGCCACAUUGGGACUGAGAUACGGCCCAGACUCCUACGGGAGGCAGCAGUGGGGAAUAUUGCACAAUGGGCGGAAGCCUGAUGCGGCAACGCCGCGUGCGGGAUGACGGCCUUCGGGUUGUAAACCGCUUUCGCCUGUGACGAAGCGUGAGUGACGGUAAUGGGUAAAGAAGCACCGGCUAACUACGUG